CUAAACAUGUCAUCAGCAUUUCAGUCCCCGAAGCCAAACCUUUUGUCAAAGCUGACAUCUCGGAGCUUUGUGACAUAGGUGUUUGUACAGAUAAACCCUUUCGGCCAAAAGUACUUUUAUGUUGAAGUAAGUGCUCACUUUUUGUAUUUUUCCAGCAUACACGUAUUUUUUCAAAUUCUGUGAGUAACACUCAGGGACUGUUAGACAGGGAGAAAUCACAGGUUAUGGAUGGUAUUGUCAAGUUGUUCAAGUCAAUGAUUGAACAGUGCAAUUCAUCACUUCACUGCCAUGCGCUAGAUCAGGGGUUCUUUCUCCUUUGUUAGCUUUUCAAAGAUAUGGGGUCCAGAAAGGAUGUUACUGUUUUGCUCCUAUUUCAGAAUUACUCGUGAACAAAGCAGUUUUUUACCCACAGAAAAAAAAUGCAGCUUGUAUGGUUGAAAUAGUAAAGUGAGUUGUAUUUAACUUAAUUACAAUAAUAAUGAAAAUACACUCUCUUGAGGAUAGUAAGGCCUUUAGCUAGCUUUAGUUCCAGUCCGACAAAGACAAACCAAUUUAAAAUUUACAGUGGAUAUCAACAUUGCUAGUAAAGAAGCCCAAAAAGAAGCUUAGGCUAAUACGGCUAUGUUCAGCAUUUAAAAAAUAACCUAUUUUCCAUUAUUAUAAGAAAGGGGACUUUUGUAAAUUCAAAUAAAAUCAAAGAUUCUAUUUUAUGACUUGGAGAAUGUUUCUUUUCUUAAGUUGUUCACAACGUAUAAUUAGAACUGUAGUGUACUUUACUACAUGCUGCACAAGAGAUUAUCUGUCUCACAGUGGCACACUGUUUCACAAGCCAAGAGUGACUGACAGAGAACUCUCAAUCUGUUACUAUAUGUUUUCUACCAUUCAAAAAAUAGUUGCCAAACUUAAUCCUAUGAACAAAGCAGAUAAAAAAAAGACAUAACUUAUAAUUUUAAAACUUAAAGGUUAGUGGUUUUUUUAAUUGGUUCCCUUUGUAGCCCUUUUAAUAAACAGAAAACAAGCAGAGCACUUACUUGUACAGUAACCAGCUACAAACCCCCUUCCUCUAACACACACACCCACACUUUUGCAGACGGCUCUACUGUAGGUACAAUAGCACUGUACAAUUCACAAACCAGCAAUUUGUGUCAUGAAGUACUGAACUGUCAAAAAAUAAUGUAAUCACUAAUAAAGAUAUAGGACAUAAAAUAAUUUGUGAUUAAAAGGUCAUGGAUAUUUUUCAAUUGGACUUUUAUCAUAACAUCAUAAAAAAAGUCUUAUGUUCAUGCAAGUGCUACAGUGGAAAAGUCUAAAUAUUUUUUCGCUAUUGGUAUGUGUUUGAUGUAUAGUGAUGCAUGAUAUAUCUCAUUAGAAUUUAAAUACAUACCUUAACUUUUAUUAAAUACAAGGUUGAAGCUUUGUAAGGUCAUAAUAUGUAGCAGUGCAAUAACUGAUAUUAUGUGUGGGAACUCUCCCACACCAUAUCUAAUUCUCUGAUGUCUUCUGAAAAGGAUGAAAGAGGUCAAACUCUUAUUACUCAUAAUUUACAUAGGCAUUUGGCUAUAACAUUGCUAAAUGUCGCAACACUUUAUAAAUCAAGUGAUUAACAAGAAAUCUUUGCAUUAUAUUUGUGUGCCAUUAUUUUUUAUUAUUAAAAGAAUGCUUAAAUGUCAA